UACAUGGGGUGCAAACGUUGCUCGGAAUUACUGGGCGUAAAGCGCGCGUAGGCGGCUCUGCAAGUCGGGUGUGAAAUCCCCGGGCUCAACCUGGGAACUACAUUCGAGACUGCAUUGCUUGAGUAUGGGAGAGGGAGGCGGAAUUUCCGGUGUAGCGGUGAAAUGCGUAGAUAUCGGAAGGAACAUCAGUGGCGAAAGCGGCCUCCUGGACCAAUACUGACGCUCAAGUGCGAAAGCGUGGGGAGCAAACAGG
rnacentral:rRNA from 1 species